CAUUCCAGGACUUCGUGCAUUAGAAUCGACGUUCCAUCCGUUUAAUUGAUUUCUGUGUUUUGAGACACAGCUGGACUGACAUCUCUGUACAGUAACAGCCAGAGACACUCGAACUGAAUCAGUACUACUCUUCAGCCGGAGAUCUACGCCUCUUUCCGGCCUUCAUGUCAAGCCUUUGGGAUCGUGUGUGUCCCGCAGUUCCCUCUAUCUGCCCGUAGCUUGUCCAUGUCACUCCGGCGCUUCUCGGGGCUCAUGGAGAGCUCCGGGUCCGCCUAGCCCAGGGAGGGAGCUGUUCGAGGCCUGCAGGAGCGGAGACCUGGAGCGGGUGGAGAGGCUCGUGUGCCCGGAGAAUGUGAACAGGGGGGACACCGCAGGGAGGAAGUCCACCCCGCUGCACUUAGCUGUGGUUUGCUGCAACAUGGUGCUGAGCCAACCAUCCGAAACACUGAUGGAAGGACAGCGCUUGACCUGGCUGAACCCUCCACCAAAGCUGUGCUGACCGAUAACUCUGGACGUCCUGGUGGAAAUGGGCCACACAGAGCUGAAGGAGACAAGGAGACACACACAAGAUCAUCAGAGGGGUGGAGAGACUUAUUAGUGGACCUCAGAAUGCAAAGUACGAUAAGGGAACACAGAGAUGGCGGUCAUGCAGGUGGGGUUUUCAACAGAUACAGCAUUAUGAAGAUCCAGAAGGUGUGCAACAAGAAGCUGUGGGAGAGAUACAGCCAUCGCAGGAAGGAAGUUUCUGAGAGGAACCACAACCAUGCCAAUGAACGCAUGCUCUUCCACGGCUCACCGUUCGUAAAUGCCAUCAUUCACAAGGGCUUCGAUGAAAGGCAUGCGUACAUAGGAGGUAUGUUCGGGGCCAGGAUCUACUUUGCGUAAAACUCUUCCAAAAGCAACCAGUAUGUUUACGGAAUAGGCAGAGGAACAGGGUGCUCUCUUCACAAGGACAGGUCGUGCUACAUGUGUCAGAGACAUCUUCUGUUCUGCCGUGUGACUUUGGGGAAGUCUUUCCUCCAGGACAUCACUCAGUCACUGGCCGGCCCAGUGUCAACGGUCUCGCUCUGGCGGAGUAAGUCAUCUACAGAGGAGAGCAGGCUUUUCCUGAAUAUCUGAUCACAUACCAGAUCAUCAAACCGGACAGUUCUACAGAUUAACACAUGGCUCUUUCCAUCUCAAGGGAGAGAAACUGCUUGAUAUUGCAUGCAUUUAUUUAUACAAUGUAUAAUUCUUUUCUCUUCCUACAGCUGUCUGCUUUUAUGUCAUUUACAGCAACUUAUUAAUCAGAUUUUAGACACAACAAGCCUCAUCGGUCCAGUCAAUUACACUGAUUACAAAACUUCCAUUUCCUAUUAGUUUAAUUUAUUUUACAAAGACAAUUGUAUAUUUUGUACUUAUUUAUUUAUUGAUGUUUGUAUCAUAGGGGUUGUAAAUGUUGGCCACUGUCAUGCAGUUUUCAGUGGGAACACCGGGUCUAUUGGAGGUUAUUUGUUGGCAUGGUUUUUUUUUUUUUUGUCCAGGAGCACCUGUAUCCUGUUGUUCACGAACAUGUCGAGUUUUCCUCUUGCAGUGUCAUGUUAAAGAUGUAUUUAGUUUGUCCUACAACAACAGCGUCGCUAACAUUAUUAACAAUUAAAGAGACACUUUU